UGGGGAAUAUUGGACAAUGGGCGAAAGCCUGAUCCAGCCAUGCCGCGUGUGUGAAGAAGGCCUUUUGGUUGUAAAGCACUUUAAGUGGGGAGGAAAAGCUUAUGGUUAAUACCCAUAAGCCCUGACGUUACCCACAGAAUAAGCACCGGCUAACUCUGUGCCAGCAGCCGCGGUAAUACAGAGGGUGCAAGCGUUAAUCGGAAUUACUGGGCGUAAGGCGCGCGUAGGUGGUUAUUUAAGUCAGAUGUGAAAGCCCCGGGCUUAACCUGGGAACUGCAUCUGAUACUGGAUAACUAGAGUAGGUGAGAGGGGAGUAGAAUUCCAGGUGUAGCGGUGAAAUGCGUAGAGAUCUGGAGGAAUACCGAUGGCGAAGGCAGCUCCCUGGCAUCAUACUGACACUGAGGUGCGAAAGCGUGGGUAGCAAACAGGAUUAGAUACCCUGGUAGUCCACGCCGUAAACGAUGUCUACCAGUCGUUGGGUCUUUUAAAGACUUAGUGACGCAGUUAACGCAAUAAGUAGACCGCCUGGGGAGUACGGCCGCAAGGUUA
rnacentral:rRNA from 1 species